rnacentral:pre_miRNA from 1 species
UUUGAUGCACUGACCGUGUAAAUUUUUUUUAAAAAGUCAACCAAUUAGAUUUCAAAGAUUGGUCAUUUCAUUCAAUUUAAUUAAAUAAGAAAAAAUCUAUCUUUACCACAUUCAUGAAAUCUGAUUGGUUGACGGUGUAAAAAAACUUUGCACCGUUGGUGCAUCAAA